GCAGUGGCCAAAACAAGAACACGUUUGUGCUCUGGUAUUGUGCCUGGCAGACCACGCACAAGCUCCACCACAGUCUGGACCUUCACUUCCUGAUCACAGGCCACACCAAGUUUGCCCUCAUCAAGCAGCGCUUCAGAAAGACCAGAGUGAGCACUUUGUCUGAGAUUGCUGGUGUUGUGAAGCACAGGAUAGUGACAGGGGUCAACAUCCCACAGCUGGUUGAACUGGAGGAUGGUACGUUGCUGGUGUAAAGUUAUGGCUGGCAACAACACCUGACUCUGUAAUUCAGGCCACUGCAACAGAUCAAGCAGUACCAGCACUUCAGCUUCGAUGCUCUGGAGCCUGGUGAUGUUGUUGCCUAGGAGCGUUCGGACUGUCGGGACCAGGUUUCAGCUGCUGCGCAACACUGACAUCUUUCCUCCCAUAGAUGGUCUGCCUGUGCAAGCGCCACCUGGACUGGACACAGCUAGACAAACGUAUCUUUUUGAGAAGAUUAGGGAGUUUCAAAGAGGCUAUGGACAUGCCCUGCACCAAAGUCAAGGGCAGGACAGAAACAGGCUCUCUGAAUAUAGAUUCCCUUGUUCAUGCGUUGUUUGGAUGGACCAGUCAUCAGCACUAUCUACAGUGCCUCUAUUCAAAUGACUCUCUCCUAACACAGACACCAUACGUUGCUGCUACUAUUUUUUUUUUAUCCUGCUGCUCAGCCACUUUACCCUUGAUUGUAUGCAUAUAACUACCUCGUCUAUCACUAUUGAUAUUGUUCGUGUACAUACUGCAUAUUAUCUUAUUUAUACUGACACUAUCUAUUUCUGUAUUGCUACUUUGCAAGUAACCAUUUGGCUGUACCGUUUAUACCUUCUGUAGAGACCCAUCCACUUAGCAAGACUUAGCAAAAUAUUGAUAUAUAAACUGAAUAUUGUUUGGUCGUAACAUGAUCUUGUGACAUACCACAACUAUCGUGUGUCCGUAUCAAGUGUCCACCACAUAAAUAUAUGGCUCAUUCA